rnacentral:lncRNA from 1 species
CUAACUCUUCUCUUCUCUUCUCUUUGGUUCUUGUUUCUCACUUUUGCAUGUAAUGCAAUCAUCACCACACUUAUGAUGUAACAUGCAUUAAAAAUAUUACAAAGAUUAUUGCUAGCUGUUAACUUAGUUUUUUCUUCAAAUAAUUUAAAUACCAUAUCUCUAUCAUAUACAUAGAAUAGAGUCAAUACACUAAUAGAGUGUGGAUCGUUCUAUCUAUAUAGUUGAUACCACAGUUGAAACUGAGGUUUGGUUGCUGCUGUACCUGUAUCAUAGAAAUUCCCUUAGAAGAUUUCUAGAAAAGGUGGUGAGCAAGAAUAGUGAUACAGCAAUCCUUUUUGAAAAUGUAAAUUCUAAUUCUCAUUAUCCAUAGACUAAUACUACUAAAAAUUAGGGUAUUGAAUUAAGGAUCACAAGUGCAAUUGAGAUCACCACAUUGAGAUUUUGGUUGUCUUCACAUACAAGCAUUUCCCCUAGAAUUGCAGGAAAUGGAUCCUAACCAUAACCACAGCUAUAAUUUAAAAUUAUGCUAUACUUAUACAGUUUUUAUUUAAUUUUAUUGCUACGUAAAAUGUAUGAAUAUUUAUCCUAAGCAUAACCUUAACACCAUAAGAAAAAGUGCCUAUCAAAAAAAUCUUGCAGUGCCUUGUUACAUUAUCUUGUCUGUUUCAAUCACACAGAAAGAAAGAGACCGCACCAAAGAGUUGAGAAAGAAGAACGGAGAAAUGAAGGCAAAUCUAUACUCCCUCAGAAGUCAAAAGAUGGAGCUUGACAGAAACGUCUUGGAGUUGCAAUCCACCAUGGAUUCACUAAAAGAUGAGCAAAAAGUGAUGGAAUCUGCAUUUGAGGAGACACAGAAUGAACUCAGGAUAAUGCAACAAAAAAGUAUUGGACUAGGAGAUUCUGAAACAAUAGCUCUAAAAGAGAAUCUUAAGCAGAAGGAAGCAAAGAUAAAAGACUUGAAGGAGCAUCUUGAAAUCCAAUUUAAGAGCCGCACCAUAAGCAUUAAUGAUUCAUCCAUCUUUCCUGAAACUGUGACAGUAAAUACAACAAUGGCAGCAGAAUAUAAAACUGUGAAUGUGACUAUAGAAAAAGAUGAACACUCAGGUGACUCUGCCAAAUACGGGGGUGGUGCAAAGCAUAUUAUAAAUGAAGUUGCAAGUAAAAGCAAAUCAACUAUCAAAGACGGCGUAUUUACAAUUGAAUUACAAGAUGAAAUUCAGAAUGAUGAGAAACACAUAAAGAAAAAUGAACACCCUCAAGAUGAUGGCGGCACAGGUGUCACUGAAAAAGAUAUCAAGGCUGAAGUGGUGGAAGUUGGUGAAAAGAAAGUGAUCAAAGAAGAGCAGCCAAUACAGCUGAAGGGAAUUGCAGAUGGUGGGGGUCAGCAUUUUAAUGUGAAGCAAUUGGAAGACAACCCCAGUGCUGCUGGAGUGAAGAGGAAACAUAGCCAUUUAAUAAGUAGAACAAAGACGAAGCGCUGGAGAACCAUUGUCAAGAAUAGCUUGAUGGAGAACAAUGUGAUUCCUGAAAACCAUAAAGAGGUAAACAAGGGCAACAUAAUGGUUUCCGGAGAUGAGAAAGAUGAGGUGAAAGAUAGAACAAUGGGAAUAGUCUAUGAGGCAAAUGUAAUAAGAGAGGAUAAGGAAAGGGGCAAUAAUAACCAGAAACAAGAGGAGGGGCAUGUCAAAUUGCUGAAACCUGAAACAUGAUGAAAACAGAGAAGAUGCACUAAACAUUAUAGUGAAUAAUACAAAUCACCAGGUCACAAAUAACGGCACCACCACUUACCCAGAAAAGAGUGACCAGAUGAAAUAAGACAGUCCUGAGAGCAAGAAGUCAGUGUUGUCCAAUUGAACCGGAGCAUGGGGCGUAUCAACAAAGCCGAGAAGAAUGUUAGAGAAACAAAAUGCAACAUGCUUCAUGAAGAAACUGAAGAAAUAGAUGCUCCAGAUGUACAAAUUACAAAAGCAAAAGAAAGAAGAGAAUACCAAUCUGACUUCGAAAAUGAGAAAGAGUACAAGGGAGAUGGACUACUUUCACUCUGGUUUUUGAUUAAAUUGUAAAUUAAACUUACUCUGUUCAUCUAUUUGGUUGGGUGUGGUAUGCUUAGAUAUAUUUGAAAUUAGUAACAUGAAAGGUUUGUCAUCUUAUGAACUACUAAGUAGAUCUCAGUCAAAUCCGAUUUCACUAUUAUUGUAUUUAGUAACUCAGAUUUUUCAGUUUGCAUUUCUGCAGAUUUAUUUAUUUCACUAGUAAAACUUUGCAACAUCUAUGAUAUCAUGCUAGAGAUUAAAAAGGAUGCACAUAGGGAUUAAAACACAAAGCAGAAAGCCUAGUUUUGCAGAAACAGCAUGCCUAUAGAUUCAGAGCAGCCAAUUAAUUUAUCAGAUGCUCAUCUUUCGGAAAAUGACUGUUUUACUCGACCUAUUCUGGUGAGAAGCGAGAAACAUGAAUCUUAGUUUUCUUCUCAAGAAAUAUGUCACUAUUAAUUGCUCAGUUUUUGAAAACAUUGCCAAAUGAGUCUUUUUAAGGACUUAAUUCGUUACAUUCUGAAACUCACAGGGACUUAAUUUAAUACAAAUAUAUCGGGGUGACAUUGGUUAUUUUUCACAUGCUAAUUUGAUGAUAAUUUUUUUUCAAGGAUCAGAUUAAUAAGGCAUACAUCUUUCAAGGAUCAAAUUAAUAGUUAAAUCUAGAGUCAUUGUAGUAUUGAUGAAACCCAGCAAACAUUGCUUUCUACUUGUACUUUAUGUCAAUAUAAGUAAUUGGUGGCAAAAGGAGAAAUACAUGAAUUGGCAUAAAACGGCUAGAUAUGAAGUCACUUGUAACAAAUUUUCUGGAAAUAAUUAUCUUCCAAUAUUCAUUUGUCCACAAGGAGUAAUGGGUAACUAGCCAAAAGAAUACAAACAACACGGUCUGAAAAGUCUGGGCACAUCAUUAUUAGGAAAGCUGGGUUGUGAAUAUGCUCCAACCUCACUGUGGUACUGCCACCAAUUUCUGCAAAUAUCAAGGGCAUUCAAUGGGUAAAGACUAAAAUUAAACACCCCUCGGAGUAAGAUACAUAUGUGAUUAGCAUGACACUAAAUUGUUAAUGACAAAUUAGCAGUGUAUCUAAUUAAGGUUGACAAGUUUGGGUGGUAGUUGUGGUGGUAGUGGGGAUUUUCAUCUUACCUCAUGAACAGAUUACGAUUCUAAGUUCUGAC